CAAUUUGGAAGAGACUGCUUCCAAGUUGGACUCCAAAGUGCAGGUACAUCAGUGUCUGAUCACACUAUAGGGGCUCCUUGUGCAGGUGAAUCAGUGUCUGAUCACACUAUAGGUGCUCCUUGUGCAGGUACAUCAGUGUACAGUGACGGACUGUUGAAAGAAAAACAUUAAAAAGCCAGACUGGAACUGGCUCAAAUGCAUAUUUUCCUCCUACAGGAUAAUGACCCAAAACAAACUGCUAAAAGCACCCAUGAAUGGCUAAGGAACGAACAGUGGACAAACAGUGACUUUCUGAGUCCUGACCUGUAUUCCAUUGAACAUGUCUGGAUAGAGCUGACACAUGCACUCUGUGGAAAGCACUCUUUGACUGAGACAGUUGGAGCAGUUUGCUUAAGUGUGCAAAACUACCUGUUGGCAGAAGUUUUAUGCAGAGCUACAGAAAGCCACUAAAGCUAUCGGGGAAAGGGUAUCGUUCUUUUUGUCCAUCAUUUUCAUUUGUUUUAUUAUUUAAAAUAUCAGAAGUGAAGUCCGAUUUGCAUUAACUUCAGACUUAGUAUAAACAAGGAUGGAUGCUGAUUACUUUUGUCGGUUUCAAAUUAUUUUAGAGAGAUUUUUUUUUAAUGGAAGGGUACCAACAAUUUUAGCCACAACUGAACUGUGAUACCAUCUAUAAUGGAAGUCAUCCAAGUUGUCAAACACUUCUCAAGUCUUCACUGUAGGCUCUGAGGUCAUCCUGUAAUUACACAGGAAUAUGGAACCCAUUUGCAAUAACACUGCAUCUGAACAAGAUUCUGUAAAAUUUUAUUAUGGCAGUAGUAUGUGUAAUUUAACAAGCUAUCAAAAGAAAAUAUUUAUAGUACACAAAAAUAGGUAGGGGAAGAAGUCACAUCAGCGACACAACACUCAGAAAGACAGAGAAAGGAAGAUAGAAACAGACAGACAGAGAGAGAGGGGGGGCUAGAGAGAGAGAGAG